GCAUACGGGCCGGCAGUUACACAUGCAGUCGAGCGGAUGAGGGGUGCUUGCAUCCCGAUUCAGCGGCGGACGGGUGAGUAAUGCCUAGGAAUCUGCCCGAUAGUGGGGGACAACGUUUCGAAAGGAACGCUAAUACCGCAUACGUCCUACGGGAGAAAGUGGGGGCUCUUCGGACCUCACGCUAUCGGAUGAGCCUAGGUCGGAUUAGCUAGUUGGUGGGGUAAAGGCUACCAAGGCGACGAUCCGUAACUGGUCUGAGAGGAUGAUCAGUCACACUGGAACUGAGACACGGUCCAGACUCCUACGGGAGGCAGCAGUGGGGAAUAUUGGACAAUGGGCGAAAGCCUGAUCCAGCCAUGCCGCGUGUGUGAAGAAGGUCUUCGGAUUGUAAAGCACUUUAAGUUGGGAGGAAGGGCUGUAAGCGAAUACCUUGCAGUUUUGACGUUACCGACAGAAUAAGCACCGGCUAACUUCGUGCCAGCAGCCGCGGUAAUACGAAGGGUGCAAGCGUUAAUCGGAAUUACUGGGCGUAAAGCGCGCGUAGGUGGUUUGGUAAGUUGGAUGUGAAAGCCCCGGGCUCAACCUGGGAACUGCAUCCAAAACUGCCUGACUAGAGUACGGUAGAGGGUGGUGGAAUUUCCUGUGUAGCGGUGAAAUGCGUAGAUAUAGGAAGGAACACCAGUGGCGAACGCGACCACCUGGACUGAUACUGACACUGA
rnacentral:rRNA from 1 species